UAUCCUAAGGCGCUCGGGGGAACUGUGGUAAAGGAACUCGGCAAAAUGGCCCCGUAACUUCGGGAUAAGGGGCGCCCCUUGGAGAAGGCUUCGCAAGAAGAACCGGGGGGCUGCAGGAAUCGGUUGUUACGACUGUUUACUAAAAACACAGGUCUCUGCCAAGUCCACAAAGACGACGUAUAGAGACUGACGCUUGCUCGGUGCCGGAAGGUCAAGGUGAGGGGUCAGCCCGCAAGGGCGAAGCUCCGAGCCGAAGCCCCGGUUAACGGCGGCCGUAACUAUGACGGUCCUAAGGUAGCGAAGUUCCUUGUCGGGUAAGUUCCGACGCGCAUGAAUAGCGUAACGUGGCAACGCUGUCUCUACCGCAGACCCGGCGAAAUUGUAGUAGCGGUGAAGAUGCCGCUUACCCGCAGUUAGACGGAAAGACCCCGUGAACCUUCACUGUAGCCUAUUAUUGAGUUUGGGUGUGGCAUGUGUAGGAUAGGUGGGAGGCAUUGAAGCUGGGACGCCAGUCUCAGCAGAGCCGCCGGUGAAAUACCACCCUUGUUGCAUCUAAAUCCUAACUCGAUUCCUUGAACCAGGGUCCAGGACAGUGAUAGGUGGGCAGUUUGGCUGGGGCGGCUUCCUCCUAAAGAGUAACGGAGGAGCCCAAAGGCACCUUCAGCGCGGUUGGCAAUCGCGCGGAGAGCGUAAGGGUAUAAGGGUGCCUGACUGUGAGACCAAUAAGUCGAGCAGAGGUGAAAGCCGGGCCUAAUGAUCCGGCGUUACCGGGUGGAAGGGACGUCGCUCAUCAGAUAAAAGGUACUCCGGGGAUAACAGGCUGAUCUCUCCCAAGAGUCCAUAUCGACGGGGAGGUUUGGCACCUCGAUGUCGGCUCAUCACAUCCUGGGGCUGUAGGAGGUCCCAAGGGUUCGGCUGUUCGCCGAUUAAAGUGGUACGCGAGCUGGGUUUAGACCGGCGUGAGCCAGGUCGGUCCCUAUCUACUGUGGGUGCAGGAGACUCGCGGGGAGCUGUCCCUAGUACGAGAGGAUCGGGAUGGACGGACCUCUGGUGUACCUGUUGUCUCGUCAGAGGCACCGCAGGGUAGCUAUGUCCGGAAGGGAUAAGCGCUGAAAGCAUAUAAGUGCGAAGCCCCCCCCAAAACGAGGUCUCCCUGAAGGCACCUCGAAGACGACGAGGUUGAUAGGCCGGAGGUGUAAGCACGGCAACGUGUUCAGCCGACCGGUACUAAUCUGCCGUUCGGCUUGACCGU
rnacentral:rRNA from 1 species